GUGGGGAAUAUUGGACAAUGGGGGGAACCCUGAUCCAGCCAUGCCGCGUGUGUGAAGAAGGCCUUUUGGUUGUAAAGCACUUUAAGCGAGGAGGAGGCGCUCUAGGCUAAUACCCUAGAUGCGUGGACGUUACUCGCAGAAUAAGCACCGGCUAACUCUGUGCCAGCAGCCGCGGUAAUACAGAGGGUGCGAGCGUUAAUCGGAUUUACUGGGCGUAAAGCGCGCGUAGGUGGCUAAUUAAGUCAAAUGUGAAAUCCCCGAGCUUAACUUGGGAAUUGCAUUCGAUACUGGUUAGCUAGAGUAUGGGAGAGGAUGGUAGAAUUCCAGGUGUAGCGGUGAAAUGCGUAGAGAUCUGGAGGAAUACCGAUGGCGAAGGCAGCCAUCUGGCCUAAUACUGACACUGAGGUGCGAAAGCAUGGGGAGCAAACAGGAUUAGAUACCCUGGUAGUCC
rnacentral:rRNA from 1 species